UCGAGUGAGAUUUGCAGCGUUUUUGCACACUGCCAGCCCCUCCGAGCUGAGCUGAGGUGUCUGCACAGCCUUUACCCCUAGGAACUCUGGUGUAAAGUGCUGGUGAAAGGCCUCUGCAUGCGGUGCCCUGUGAGCGCAUGAAACUGGACUGAACACAAAGGAGAAAAAAAAAGGUGAUAUGUGUGCUAGAAACAACCUGUACGUGAUGUUUAAAAAAACACAUAAUCGUAUACCUUGGAAAUUCAGCAGUAAGCAAGACAGUCUUCUUCCCCAUGGAAAGUGAAGUUUUAAGUGUUUCCCACUAAUUAAAUCCAACUCUAUGGGAAAGGAGCUCAUUGAUGCAUUCUAUAACAAUAACUUCCCAGGAGACAGCUUAAGUGCUCCUGGUUCUCUGACCUUCAGACUAGGACUGGAAUCUAUGCUAUUGGCUCUGGUUCUCAGGACCUCAAACCAUACCACCAGCAUUCUUGGAUCUCUGGCUGGGAGAUGGCUUUAUGGAGGACUUCUGGAUCUCGAUAGCCAU